ACCCUUAAUUGAUUCUAAAUUAAUCAGUUACAUCCUUGUGGGUCUUGAUCUAGAAUACAAUCCACUCGUCACAUCCCUUACCACUCGACUUGAACCUAUGUCACUUCAAGAAGUAUAUGAUCAUCUCCUGACAUAUGAGC